ensembl:scaRNA
UGGGAAGCUAAUGUACAGAUUGGGCUGAAAUACAGCUCUAAUUGUCACCAUACUUCCCUAAACUAUCUUUUGAUGACCAGGAUGAAUUGAGUGAAACCAUAAUGGACAGACUCAGGGCAGACAAUU